UACGUAGGGGGCAAGCGUUGUCCGGAAUCAUUGGGCGUAAAGCGCGUGUAGGCGGCUCGGUAAGUCUGCUAUGAAAGUCCAAGGCUCAACCUUGGGAUGCGGGUGGAUACUGCCGGGCUCGAGUCCGGAAGAGGCGAGUGGAAUUCCUGGUGUAGCGGUGAAAUGCGCAGAUAUCAGGAGGAACACCAAGGGCGGAGGCAGCUCGCUGGGACGUGACUGACGCUGAGACGCGAAAGCGUGGGGAGCAAACAGG
rnacentral:rRNA from 1 species